rnacentral:tRNA from 1 species
AAAGACUAAUUUAAAAAAAAUAAAUGGUUUCGGCCCAUUAAAUCUUGAGCUUUCAAGGUCUUUU